rnacentral:lncRNA from 1 species
GAAAUACUUUGUUACAGGACACCCAUCAGAGGUGACAUGACGUGCAUAGAUUCUUGUAAUAAGGAACUGAAAGUGCUAUUAUAUACAUUUCACAAAAGUAGGUCCUUCCACUAGUUUUUGUCUCAAGCGACUAUUAAUAAGGGAGGUGUUUUGGAUCCUCAUUAGAAAGCAAGUAAUUGCAAGAGUGUUGUCAUGGUGCUCUUAUCAGAAAAGUGGUAGCUCUGAAGAAAUCAUGAAAAUGGACAUGGAAUUUGAAAAGAAGACGACUUUACACAAAGAUCGUUGUAGCAGGAAAACUGGCAUCCUCCUAAUUCUAGGAGUUUGCAUGAUUGUCUUCAUGACCAUGACUUUUGUCAUCUGUGAGUGGGAUUAAACAACAUGCAAUCUUUAUGUGUCAUGCUAUAAAUAUGUAAGAAAGUGAGCUGUAAUUCAAAAAAGGAAAUUGGAAACUGGAACUGAAAAAAAGUAUUUGCAGAUACCUUUUUGCAAUGGUAUUUUUUACAUUAUGCUGAUUUGAAAAAAAAAAUCUUUAUUUUCGCUCAUAGUUUUGCAUCAACAAAAAAAAUUUCUCGAUGUUGGAGAGUUGGAUGAACAGUCAGAGUUCAAAUCUGACUUCAGUCAAUCCUGAUCUUCAGAAAACAGGUGAGAACUUAAACAAUACUUUUACACAAAUUAGCUGAAAACAUCCUCAUCCUCAGAGAUCAUCCGAGAUGCAGAUUUAGCGGACAUAGCAUUGCAU